GGGGAUGUAGCUCAGUCGGUAGAGUGUUUGCCUUGCAUGCACAGGGCUCUGGGUUCAAUCCCCAGCUGCACCA
rnacentral:tRNA from 1 species